CUCUCCCCCUCUGCUCCUCUCUUUCCUUCUCUUUCAUGCCACCCCUCGUAGCCUCCUAUUGUUGUUGCCGAGAGCUGGCAGGCCAGGGUGGUUGUGGCAGGGGAAGCAUGUGGAGGAGAAGCUGGAGCCCGUUGCUAGGAGGCUGCAGCGCUGCAAGGUGAACACCUUGGCGUUCUCACUCUGUGGCUGGUCCCAGAGGCUUGUUUCCCAGGUUGUGACAGAUGCCCUAUAAAGCAAGAACUUCUUCUUUAUAGAAGGCUAGCCUGGACCAUGCCUGUAGAGAAAAUGUAUGCUGAGUGUGAUAAUGUACUGCCUCAGAUUGCAUGCAGAAAAAGAUGUACCAGUUGCCUGGCAAGAUGAACUCAAGAAACACAAAGAAAAGUCUUCUGAGAGAAUACAAAGAAGUUUUCAGUUUUACCGAAGUCAGGGUGACUAUUCCAGGCUCGACACCUGAUACCCUUGAGCCUGUGUUCAUUAUGACAUCACAGCUGACAAGAGAGGACCUAGCUGGGACAUGGAUCUGGACAGUAUAUUAUGAAGUGUGACAUACUGGAAAUCUCUGUUCAUCCAUCUAUGGGAGACUUGCUAAAGAAGUCAAAAAAGAAAAGAUGAUCUGAUGACCUGUGCAGAGAGGUGAGAUACAAACUAACACCCAAACCAGAUGUGGUCAUGGAAAAUCCUAUAGCAUUUCCAAAAGAGGAUGGAUGUUAAACUUGGUGUCCUGGUCAUACACUUACUAAGACCCUUUUUGUCUUCUAGGUUAUCAGCUUGCAAUCCAGCUAUCUGAGAAUACUGUUGACCAUCAUCUGAUCAGAGUCUGACUGUCCUUUGGGGUGAGGUAGUAGGUUGUAUAGUUUUAGGGUUAUACCCUGCCUGUCAGAUAACUAUACAAUCUACUGUCUUUCCUGAAGUGGCUGUGAUAUCAACGCUGGAUAUGGCUUCAAAAGAUGUAACAGAAGUCUUCUAAUUUGGAUGGUCUUUGGCUAUAUCCACUCAUUAGAUAUAGCCACUUGCAACUGAGCUCUAAUGGAAUAACAAACCCUGUGUUGUUCAUUUAGCUUUCAUAGAAUGCUACAAUUUUUGUCAUCCAGAUAAAGAAACAGUUGAAUUUCCACCAUCUGCAGUGAAUCAUGGUGACCAAUGUGUACUACAUGCUCUCCAGUGAGGAUGAUGUUAGCUCUCACUGUGCUUCCCUCCUCCCCUUGCAUGUGUGUCAGGGAAAGAACCAAAAGAAUAAGACAAAUUGCCCAGUUCUCCACAACCCCGCGCCUUGUGCAGUCAGGUAAUAUUCAACAGAAGUGGAUAUCAAAUGCUACUUUUGCACAGCUGUAAAUCGCUGUUUAAAGUACAGGGAAAUGGUGAACUGUACAGAAGGCCAAGAGCUGGCCAUUUGGAAGUUAGUUUCCAUGCCAAGAGAAAUGACACUAGGCUGCAGAGGUUUGUUGUUGGGUUUCUGAUUGCUGAUUUAUCUCAUUUUUUUGCAUUACGUAUACGUGAACAGGCCAUCCUGACUGCUACUCCUCUUUCUACUGGAUUAUUCCACCCACUUACACUGUGACUCCCCUGGACAGCUCUGAGGCAGGGCUGAAAUCACAAAGUUCACAAAGAUGCUGUUCUUUCUUUAGUUAGCAAGGAACAAAUCGGCUCUGAAAGCAGAGGGGAAUUCUACUGGUGAAUUGUGGAAGCAAAGGCCACUGAAUUGCUAACCUUCUUCGAAGGAAUUUCCUGGUGCUCUGGCAGGGUGAGGUAGUAGGUUGUGUGGUUUCAGGGUAGUGAUUUUGCCCCAAUCAGGAGAUAACUAUACAACCUACUGCCUUCCCUGAUGAGCAGUAUUACAGCAUCUCAGAAACUCUUAAUCCUUUCUGUUGUAAGUGAAACCAGGAUUUAAAUCUACCUCCAUGACCAGAAAAGUGAGCCUGUGUAAAACUGGAGUGAUCUUGUCAAAAGCAGCUUUUGAUCUUAACUAUAGGAGAAGGAAGCACUUGCAGAUUAACUGUGUUUGUUUCUAAGUGUAUGUUUUAAAUUCCAUUUAUCAAAAGAAAUAAAAUAAAGACAAGUUUUGUUUGUUUCCAAA